rnacentral:rRNA from 1 species
UCCAGACUCCUACGGGAGGCAGCAGUGAGGAAUAUUGGUCAAUGGGCGGAAGCCUGAACCAGCCAAGUCGCGUGAGGGAAGAAGGCCCUGCGGGUCGCAGACCUCUUUGGACGGGGAGCAAGGCCGCCGACGUGUCGGCGGAAGGAGAGUACCCGUAGAACAAGCAUCGGCUAACUCCGUGCCAGCAGCCGCGGUAAUACGGAGGGCGCGAGCGUUAAUCGGAAUUACUGGGCGUAAAGCGCGCGUAGGCUGUUGUGUAAGUUGGGGGUGAAAUCCCACGGCUCAACCGUGGAACAGCCCUUGAUACUGCGCGACUUGAAUCCGGGAGAGGGUGGCGGAAUUCCAGGUGUAGGAGUGAAAUCCGUAGAUAUCUGGAGGAACAUCAGUGGCGAAGGCGGCCACCUGGACCGGUAUUGACGCUGAGGCGCGAAAGCGUGGGGAGCAAACAGGAUUAGAUACCCUGGUACA